UGUGUGUAUGUAUUUUCAGUAUGUAAAUUCAGCCAAUAACUCGGGCUCUUUUUAUUGAGCCUGGUCGCAGUUCAUUUAUUUUCCUUCAGUGUCUGGCGGUCGU